CUCCUGCUUUGGAGUGGGUUUGCAGUGGAUCUUCUAUGAGAAGUAAGUGUCCUGAAGCUAGCUUUGGAAGCUUUUGAACCACUUCAGCAACCCAUCUUGCAUAUUACUCCUAAAUAAGUGUCUUUUGGACCAUUAUAAGAGGCAGAACCAGCAUCUUGUGGCAACUCUGGAGGAGAGAAUGAAGCUAUGAGAACACAAAAGUACCAAAGGAAAGACUUGUCUCCCUCCCUACUGUGUUAAGUCAGGCCAGACUCAUGUGAUUGCUCACCCAGCCUGGGAACCCAUGGUCUUCAGAUGCUCUGGGAUGCAGAGGUGGGCAAAUUUUCCUGGAUGUGUCCUCUUCUGUUUGGGAGCACCAGAGCUUCAGUGUGCUGUCGUUAAGGCUGAUAGCUUCUGUGCACAGCAGCCAUAUCCCAUGAGCACACACACACACUACUCGCCAUACACAGAGGUGGAGCAGUGAUGGCGAUGCCUCUUGGGGGAGUUAGACUCAUCGCCUGCAAGCUAUACAGUGCAAGCACAGACAUUUCCAGCUGGGAAAUCCCAGACAUAAGUAUGAUGAAAGUGCUUGUGAGCACUCCUGCUCUGCUCUGCACCAGGAGCACAAUCCCUUUGGCAUGGGCAUGGUUUUCACUGAACUGUCUUAUUUAUUUGUAUUAGGAGCACAAUUUCUUCUAGGUCAAAGCUAUUUGAGUGAGGUCUCAAAUUCGUACCGUUCAGCCCCCCCAGCUGACUGUAAUUACAUUUGCAUAUAUUAUAUACGGAUAUAGAGGGAUUUAAUCAAAAUGUAGCUGCCAAAUGGAGACC